CCUGCUCCCGCGGCACAAUGUGAUCCACCAGCAAGGAGGGACGCCAAUAAGGCCCCCAUCUCCUCCUAUGAGUGUCUCUUUCCAGAGAUAACCAUCCAUCCAUCCAUCCACCCAUCUAAUAAACCAUAUGCAUAUUUGGCCAUAAAAUG